rnacentral:misc_RNA from 1 species
GAUGAAGAACGUAGCGAAAUGCGAUAAGUAAUGUGAAUUGCAGAAUUCAGUGAAUCAUCGAAUCUUUGAACGCACAUUGCGCCCCCUGGUAUUCCGGGGGGCAUGCCUGUCCGAGCGUCAUUGCUGCCCUCAAGCACGGCUUGUGUGUUGGGCCCCCGUCCCCGGUUCUCCCCGGGGACGGGCCCGAAAGGCAGCGGCGGCACCGCGUCCGAUCCUCGAGCGUAUGGGGCUUUGUCACCCGCUCUGUAGGCCCGGCCGGCGCCAGCCGACACCCCAACUUUAUUUUCUAAGGUUGACCUCGGAUCAGGUAGGGAUACCCGCUGAACUUAAGCAUAUCAAUAAGCGGAGGA